rnacentral:rRNA from 1 species
UAGGGAAUCUUCGGCAAUGGACGAAAGUCUGACCGAGCAACGCCGCGGGAGUGAAGAAGGUUUUCGGAUCGUAAAACUCUGUUGUUAGAGAAGAACAAGGACGUUAGUAACUGAACGUCCCCUGACGGUAUCUAACCAGAAAGCCACGGCUAACUACGUGCCAGCAGCCGCGGUAAUACGUAGGUGGCAAGCGUUGUCCGGAUUUAUUGGGCGUAAAGCGAGCGCAGGAGGUUUCUUAAGUCUGAUGUGAAAGCCCCCGGCUCAACCGGGGAGGGUCAUUGGAAAAUGGGAGACUUGAGUGCAGAAGAGGGGAGUGGAAUUCCAUGUGUAGCGGUGAAAUGCGUAGAUAUAUGGAGGAACACCAGUGGCGAAGGCGGCUCUCUGGUCUGUAACUGACGCUGAGGCUCGAAAGCGUGGGGAGCAAACAGG